AUACGAAGGGUGCAAGCGUUAAUCGGAAUUACUGGGCGUAAAGCGCGCGUAGGUGGUUCGUUAAGUUGGAUGUGAAAGCCCCGGGCUCAACCUGGGAACUGCAUCCAAAACUGGCGAGCUAGAGUAUAGCAGAGGGUGGUGGAAUUUCCUGUGUAGCGGUGAAAUGCGUAGAUAUAGGAAGGAACACCAGUGGCGAAGGCGACCACCGGGGCUAAUACUGACACUGAGGUGCGAAAGGGUGGGGAGCAAACAGGAUAAGAUACCCUGGUAGUCCACGCCGUAAACGAUGUCGACUAGCCGUUGGGAUCCUUGAGAUCUUAGUGGCGCAGCUAACGCAUUAAGUCGACCGCCUGGGGAGUACGGCCGCAAGGUUAAAACUCAAAUGAAUUGACGGGG
rnacentral:rRNA from 1 species